rnacentral:rRNA from 1 species
UGGUAGAGGGAGGUGGAAUUCCGGGUGUAUUGGUGAAAUGCGUAGAUAUCCGGAGGAACACCAGUGGCGAAAGCGGCCUCCUGGCCCAUUUCUGACGCUCAUACACGAAAGCUAAGGUAGCAAACGGGAUUAGAGACCCCGGUAGUCUUAGCUGUAAACGAUGUGAACUUAGUGUCGGUGGGUUUAAAUCCAUCGGUUCUGAAGCUAACGCGAUAAGUUCACCGCCUGGGGACCACGGCCGCAAGGUGAAAACAC